GCGCGGUUAGCUCAGUGGUAGAGCACUACCUUGACACGGUAGGGGUCACUGGUUCGAACCCAGUAUCGCGCA
rnacentral:tRNA from 1 species